UCACUACUGCUGUUUGUGUCCAUCGCGCGCACCCUUUCUCUCGUCUUUAAACUUUUGCAGCAUUAUAUGAUUAUUAUACUAUUAUAUGAUUACAGUAUAUAAACAGUUUUAGGUUUACCAACACCUUAGACAAGUCUGUUUAAGGAUUUUUCUUUUCGGAAUCACAGGGGUCGGCUCAGCAGUGAUACAUGAGGGGAGUGUAGAUAACCUUUAAGGCUGUGGUGGAGUGACGUCGCAGAGAGAAGCUGGUCCUGAUUGGCUAAGAUGCAGCUGUCUCAGUUUCCUACCUCCAGUAGCUCCGCCCACUUGUGGUUGCUGAUUAUGGCCCUAAUACCCACACAAUCAGUUAUAGGGG